rnacentral:rRNA from 1 species
UACGGGGGGGGUAAGCGUUGUUCGGAAUUACUGGGCGUAAAGGGCUCGUAGGCGGCCAACUAAGUCAGACGUGAAAUCCCUCAGCUUAACUGGGGAACUGCGUCUGAUACUGGAUGGCUUGGAUUCGGGAGAGGAAUGCGGAAUUCCAGGUGUAGCGGUGAAAUGCGUAGAUAUCGUAAGGAAGACCAGUGGCGAAGGCGGGUCUCUGGACAGUUCCUGACGCUGAGGCACGAAGGUCAGGGGAGCAAACGGG